GGUGAUAAUUCAGGAACCAAGUGGUUCGAAGAUUAUGCAAUGGACCGAUGUUCAACUACAAGACGGUGUCGGAAGUUUGGAACUUCAGCUGUCAAAAGAGCCAGUUCUGGGUAAAUGGCUUAUCAAAGUAACCUUUGAGCGAAAGACGGUGACAAAAGCUAUCGAAAUUGACAAGUAUGUUCUUCCUAAAUUUGAACUGGACAUAAAGCCACCAGCAUACUUUGCAUUGGAUCAACGGGAAAU